UAAAUACUGUACAUCAAUCAGAAAUACAGGUGUUAUGGGCAUGGGAUGGCCCUGUAGAGGAUGAAAUAUUGAUACUAUAAACAAAGAUUGGUGACUUGGAUUUAUCUUCCAAUCCUAUUUCCUGCCCUCCGUAAAUAACUUUGGUGCACGGGAUGCAAAUUCAGGUCAUGGCAUCAUUGCUUCCUCUCCGCGGAGAAGGAUGUUCAUUCCACUUGCUGCUUUCAAGUUCUGUCUGAAGCUACAAACCAUUGCAGUCUUCAGCUGUUUCAUGUUCACAUCCUGAUAAGUCUGUCCUGUGCCAGUGUUGGGAGCUCAGGUGAAGAUGCUUAAAAUGAGGGAGCAUCAUCCUGAGUGGAGAGGCAGGGUCUUUAAUGGCCUGUGAGCCUUUCUGUGUUGGAGUGAACUGCCAAGGACACCGACAGUCUCAGUUGCUGCUCAAGCUACUGCCUUGGGUGGCAACUGGCAGAUAUGGAAGGCUCCAUGUGAGCUCUUCUAUUCAGUCCCCUUCCACAGGGACUAACUGUGGAGGUGUGGACUGGAAUUUUUGGCGGUUACCGUUAACAGUGAUGAUGAUAAAUUCUCUGUCGGCUGUCCGUUUGUGUCCUGCCUCAGCAAUUGCACUUUGCUUGUGAGGGAAUGCUCACUUUUGAACACACUGGUUCUUUCUCUAUGCAGCACAAAAAUAGACCAUUUUGUGGAAACAAAUGAUUGGUAUUUGUAGUAUGUUGCAUUGUGUGCUUGGAGUAACAUGCAAUUGUAGGAAAGAUCAGCACGGAAAAGCAGAAUCCUGAGUCUGAGCUCAGCGUGAUCUUGACUUGCUGAGUGGUAUUAGUCAUAGAUUCAAAAAUGUCAGGGGAGCCACAACUGAGCAUUUCUUCAGUUCCCACCUGUGCUUUGGGUUGUGAAAGAAUAACAUAAGUACACAGAGAUCUUGACUUCCUCUUGGGUGCAUCUGGAAGAUUUUAUUAGGCAGUCCACUGUGCCUGUGAUCUGUCUGAGAGCAGCUGAUGAUGAGCAUCGCCAAGAUAUUUCACCGGGCUGCUGAUAAUUUUGUGUCUUUCAGAGGACUUGAAAAACUGGAUUCAUGGAACAUCCACUCUCAUAAACCACAGCCUCACCAUGAGGACAUCAGAGAAGCCACAGCUGUACUAAGUAUCUUCACCAGCAAUCUUUCACCCUCCGACAAAUCUUUUCUUCUUGAAGACCAGAAAGAUUGUUAUUGAGCCUUCCACAAAGCUGAAAUAAUGCUGUGUGUUAAAAAAAUGUUAACAAUUUGAAGAAGUUAUAAAAAUUUAUAAGUUGACUGAAUACUUUGGAAAUUUCUGCAUAUUUUAAUAUAAAUAGGUGCUGGCAGCAUGUGGAGCUGAGAGCAGUGAAAGCCCAAGGGAAUACUGCACACACUGAAGAGGUCACCAGGAGCUGUUGUGCGGGUUUCUGGAAGACCCCUCUUUCUCUGGGAGAAGGAGAGCUGCUCUGUGUCUUAUUUUGCUGUGAUCAAGUUAUUCCUACUGGACAGCGUGGAAGACAAAUCAGGGAGUUUUGGAAACCAUCUCCUGAAGAGAAUGAAUCUGGAUGCAGUGCAGCUGGCUGUAGAGAGAUUUCUUUAACUGGGAAGAUAUGACAGGUUGUGAUAUUGGACUGCAGGGAAGCUCCACCUGUGCUGUUCUACCCUUCGUGAGGGAGCAGUGCUGGGCUGUGCAGCAGGCAUGCUCCUGCCCUUUUCGGGAGGCAUGGAGAACACUUGUCCAGUCAUAACUGAAACUAUCCAAGAUGCACAGGCCUGAAAUGUCACCUUCAGUUUCUGUUGCUCUCUGGUGUGUAUCAUGUCUUCUAGAAAACUUUUUGGACAACAGCUUUUGUUACAAGGAGAGACAGUUUGAUCCUCUCCUUAAUGCAAGACCCACACCUUCACCUAGAUUCCUUCCUGGGCAGCUGCAGUGGAUCUGAACACCAAGGAAAUUUGGCCCACUGGAUUCCUUUCCUUUCUGUGCAGUUGAAUGAAAAGUGUGUGUCUUUUGAAGGACAGCAACUGAAAGAAAUACUGAUGACUGCCAGAGCAUCUACAGAAAAGCAUAAGAAAAUUACUACAACGGUGAAGACAAAGGGGCUUUGUUAACUCUUUCUUGUAGGUUGUAUGUAUUAAUAGAAACAAGUAAAGUUUUGUAUUUUUUCAG